AGCGAACGCUGGCGGCAGGCUUAACACAUGCAAGUCGAGCGGGCACUUUCGGGUGUCAGCGGCGGACGGGUGAGUAACGCGUGGGAACGUGCCCUCUGGUUCGGAAUAACUCAGGGAAACUUGAGCUAAUACCGGAUACGCCCUUUUGGGGAAAGGCUUGCUGCGGGAGGAUCGGCACGCGUCGGAUUAGCUAGUUGGUUAGGUAACGGCUCAGCAAGGCGACGAUCAGUAGCUGGUCUGAGAGGAUGAGCAGCCACACUGGGACUGAGACACGGCCCAGACUCCUACGGGAGGCAGCCGUGGGGAAUAUUGGACGAUGGGAGGAAGCCUGAUCCAGCCAUGCCGCGUGAGUGAUGAAGGCCUUAGGGUUGUAAAGCUCUUUUAUCCGGGACGAUCAUGACGGUACCGGAGGAAUAAGCCCCGGCUAACUUCGUG
rnacentral:rRNA from 1 species